rnacentral:lncRNA from 1 species
AUCCAGUUGAUCUUCAAAAUUUUGAAAAUGAGUCUUUAGUCAGUGGAUACACAAUUAUCAAUUUUUCUUUAAUAUAUUUCACAGCUACUAUGCUCACCUUUAUUCUUUCAUGAAGAGCUAAAUAUUUGAUAUGUAUAUGCUUGCAAGUGCCUAUACUCUUUAUAUCUAAUACAUACAUAUUAAAAUGGAGGCUUCUCCAUUGAGAAGCCUCCAUCUGCCAUGUGUCAUCAAAAAAUAGUGAAGAGGCCACCAUGUGUCCUCGAAAAAAAAAAGGCCAAC